GCGAGUGAACCGGGAAGAGCUCAAAUUUGAAAUCUGGCAGUCUUCGAUUGUCCGAGUUGUAAUCUAUAGAAGCGUUUUCCGUGCUGAACUGUGUAUAAGUCCCUUGGAACAGGGUAUCAAAGAGGGUGACAAUCCCGUACUUUACACAAUCAUCAGUGCUCUGUGAUACGUUCUCUACGAGUCGAGUUGUUUGGGAAUGCAGCUCAAAAUGGGUGGUAAAUUCCAUCUAAAGCUAAAUAUUGGCGAGAGACCGAUAGCGAACAAGUACCGUGAGGGAAAGAUGAAAAGCACUUUGGAAAGAGAGUUAAACAGUACGUGAAAUUGUUGAAAGGGAAACGAUUGAAGUCAGUCGUGUUCAUUGGACUCAGCCGGUUUUCGGUGUAUUUCCUUUGAACGGGUCAACAUCAGUUUUGUCCGGUGGAUAAAGGUAGUAGGAAGGUGGCUCCCCCGGGAGUGUUAUAGCCUAUUACUGCAUACACUGGAGGAGACUGAGGACUGCAGCUUGCCUUUAUGGCCGGGGUUCGCCCACGUUCAAGCUUAGGAUGUUGACAUAAUGGCUUUAAACGACCC
rnacentral:rRNA from 1 species